rnacentral:rRNA from 1 species
GACGUAGGUGGCGAGCGUUGUUCGGAAUCACUGGGCAUAAAGCGCACGUAGGCGGCCAAGUCAGUUAGGUGUGAAAUACCUCGGCUCAACCGAGGAACUGCGCCUGAUACUGCUUGGCUUGAGGUCCGGAGGGGAGAGUGGAAUUCCCGGUGGAGCGGUGAAAUGCGUAGAGAUCGGGAAGAACGCCGGCGGCGAAAGCGACUCUCUGGUCGGAAUCUGACGCUGAGGUGCGAAAGCUAGGGGAGCAAACGGG